AGUGAACGCUGGCGGUAGGCCUAACACAUGCAAGUCGAACGGCAGCACAGUAAGAGCUUGCUCUUACGGGUGGCGAGUGGCGGACGGGCGAGGAAUACAUCGGAAUCUACUUUUUCGUGGGGGAUAACGUAGGGAAACUUACGCUAAUACCGCAUACGACCUACGGGUGAAAGCAGGGGAUCUUCGGACCUUGCGCGAUUGAAUGAGCCGAUGUCGGAUUAGCUAGUUGGCGGGGUAAAGGCCCACCAAGGCGACGAUCCGUAGCUGGUCUGAGAGGAUGAUCAGACACACUGGAACUGAGACACGGUCCAGACUCCUACGGGAGGCAGCAGUGGGGAAUAUUGGACAAUGGGCGCAAGCCUGAUCCAGCCAUACCGCGUGGGUGAAGAAGGCCUUCGGGUUGUAAAGCCCUUUUGUUGGGAAAGAAAAGCAGCAGGUUAAUACCCCGCUGUUCUGACGGUACCCAAAGAAUAAGCACCGGCUAACUUCGUG
rnacentral:rRNA from 1 species